rnacentral:rRNA from 1 species
UACGAGGGGGGCAAAUGUUGUUCGGAAUCACUGGGCGUAAAGGGAGCGUAGGCGGGUUCUUAAGUAAGGUGUUUAAUCCCGGGGCCCAACCCCGGACCGGCACUUUAAACUGGGAAUCUUGAAUAGUGGAGAGGUCGGUGGAAUUGGGGGUGUAGCGGUGGAAUGCGUAGAGACUCCCAAGAACACCAGUUGCGAAGGCGGCUGACUGGACACAUAUUGACGCUGAGGCUCGAAAGCAUGGGGAGCAAACAGG